UCAAACUAAUAUUUUAACGAUAUUAUUUGUAGUUAUGAGAAGGGAGUUAACGUGGCAUAUUCAAAAAGAUCUUAAUCCUUUCCUGGUGCAUCUUGUUUCAGAACGAAUCCUUGCAAUUAGGGCAAACGAGAUGAUUUAUGUGGCUGACGGGAAAAAGCUGAUAAGGACAGGAAUAUGGCGGAAUCAAGCCAUCCUAAUAAGCUUAAACACUUCUGAAUUUCAACGCUUAGGUUUUAGGUGCAUUAAAUCCUGGGGAGUUUCAAUCUACAAUUUUCCUUCGCAGGACUGAAGGCUUGAAUUUAUGACCUCUAUAAAAAAUAGAUAAAAUUUUGAGAUAUGGGCAAAUUCUUUUCUGAAUUCUUUUUCUCUGUUUUAUAAUGACUGGAUUCAGGCCUUCAGCCUGUGCUAGAAAAAUUUGGAUCGAUGAUGUGCUUGAGCUCUAAUUUUGAAAACAAUUGAAAAACUUGCUGCACAAGGGAUUUAAAUUCAGGGUUAGGGUUUUUUUCCUAUUCAUUUUCCCUCUUAUUUCGCCUUAUAAUUAGUCUCUUCCAGAAGUUGCCUUUGUUCCCCUGAAUAAGUGCAUGCUGAAUAAAUGGAUUUUGCUUAAAUGGAGUUUAUUUAACCGCGGAUCUGCUUUGCGAGGUUCUUGGAAGAGCACUUGGAACUGGCAAAAUCCCCGCUGAACGACGGCAAAUGCGACAGGAAACUCGAACGGGCGGCAAGAUUAUGGUCUGCGGCCCUUGAUACCUCUGAUCCCUGAGAAAGACGCUGUUGCCUAUGGUUUUACAGAGGCUGUUGUUGACAAUAAGUCUAUGUUUAAGCUCAAAUUGCAUUCAGCUGUCAGAAGUUUGGUUUCUUUUCAAAAGUCUGACAAAGCUCCAGAGCUAUUGAGGUGUAAUUAAAGGGCAGGGAUGUUGCCUCUCUUUGCGAGAGACAUCUACUGCAUCAGGAAGACAUCACUUUUGCGUUUCUUAGUCACCUGGAUGCAGCUAAUCUCCAAAAAAAUGUCCCCUACCUCAAGGUACACUUUCCGGUCUUCAGUGAAUGUUCCCAAAUAUUUUAAUAGGAUUGAUCAUCAAAAGGAUCAGGGUAUAUAGGCUAUUCAUUCAGCUUCAAAGAGUUUUAUUGUGGGUGUGUCUACUUCUCUUAGAGAGUCUUUGAUAUUUCAACGGGAUAGAUUACCAAUUGUCAUAUCUAGCAAACUUCAAACGAUAGUUCUUGCUUAUUGGGCACAUGGAAAACAAUUUCUAAGCAAAGCACCAAAAAGGCUACAAUGUCACCAUGAACAGUCAAUUUGAAUGCCAAGUAGUCCAAAGGUCUUGGUAGUUGCCUUUUUUGGGAUCCAAGAUAUCGCAGACUUCAUCACAUUGACACAUACCAUUCUCCUAAACCGAUAUAUAGGAAUUGUUGUGUCCAAGUUCUUAUUCGGUGGAUUGAUUACUCCUAACUACACAGAGAUGGGGAAUAAGUUAAAACCCAAUAAAGUGAGGAAAGACAGAUAUCCAGGAUAGGCCACUAGCAAACACUGUUUUUGCCUGUUAUGCUCCAGUUUUGUGGUUAAACUUUUUGCUACUGUACUGACAUGAAUAUGUUUCCAAACAUUUGACCUCUAUUUUGUAACAUUCAUAUACAAAAGUCCAUUGUUUUUUUAUUGCAUUAUUAUAUUUACUUAAAAGUUAAAAUUUGUUUUCUUUUAUUCCA